ensembl:lncRNA
GUCCCGAGAGCGCGUCAGCGCAGCGGCCUCCCGCGUGCUCGUGUGCGCGCGCGUCCCGGUGCCGCGCGCCCUCUCCUGCACAGCUGCGGUGCGCCCAGCCGCCCGCCAGAGGCUCGGCUCGCGCGGCGCGGCCGCUGCGACUUCCUGGAGUUCUGACUACCGGAAGUCCCACUUUACCAUUAAUGAUGACAAUAACUAAAGCUGCCAGGAACAGCACAUUUGCUGACCUUUAUCAACACCAGAUUCUCGCAUUUUGCCUUCUGGAUCUCCAUGCUCUUUUAUACCAGCAAACAAGAGGAAGAAUAUUCUCUACCCACUUCCUUGACUGAAGCCUGCUCUUUUAUGAAGACAUGGCAUCUCUUCCAACCGUGUCAAACAGAAGCAAUUUAUGUGUAUGCCGCUUCCAUACCCUGAUUCAAUGGGUCAGGGGCAGAAUCAGUAUCCUUACUCUCCCCUUUGGUUUCAAAUAUUUACUCCUCAUUUCCCUUUCAUGCCCACCUUUCUGUAGAGAUCAAGGCAUUUGCCUUUGCAGCUUUACCUCUUCUUCCAGAUUAUAUUUUCCAUUCAUGGAAUCUUUUAGCUGCCGGCUCGCAGUUUUUCUGUCCACGUGACUUCCAUUCCUCUUCUCAUGGCUUCAGCUCCCAUGCAGAUGUCUUAUCCUGACACACUAGCUUCUCCAUUCUAUUUCUGUUUUUUGUUUGUUGUUUGUUUGUUUUUUGUUUGUUUUUUCCUACUACUUCAACAACAUUUCCCUAUGGUCUUUAACUAAAAAGUCAAACCAGUGACUAAACCACUCCCAAUAUUUAACAUUUAAUGUUUCAGUGCCUUAAUUACCACCUUCUACUUUUAAAAACUCACCUCCUAAGUAACCACAUGGAAUCAAGUCUUUCACAAAAUUCAGGUCUUUAUUAUUAUUAUUAUUAUUAAUUCCCACCAGUUUCUACUCUUAUCUUCAUUUUCCUCCUUAUACCCUGUGGUAAGCAGCCUCUCACAUGGACCCUAAUGAUCCCUACUUCCUGGUAUGUGCGUCCUUGUGUAAUUGUCUCUCUCUUGAAUGUGGGCUAGAUUUAGAAAUUUGCUUUUAUCAAACAGAAUAUGGUAGUAGCAAUGGGAUGUUAAGAUAUAAAAUGAAUGUGUCUUCCAUCUUGGGAGCUCCUUUACUCUUCCUUAGAGCAUUUGUUUGCAAUAAGCCAGGUACCGUGUUAUGAUACCGUCCUAAAUAGAGAAGUCCAUGUGAGUUUGGCCUUCUGAGGCCUGUCAAAAGACACAUGAGUGAGCUCAGAAGUAGAAGCUUCCUCAUUUCAAGUCUUGAGAGGACUGCAGUCCAGCCAACAUCUUGGUUGCCCUUUCAUGACAGGCUUGUGCCAGAAUCAAGCAGCUAAGCUGCUUCUGGAUUCCUGACCUACAAACACUAUAGAUCAGGAAUGUUUGUGGCUUCCAACUGCUAAAUUUGGGGAUAAUUUGUUAUGCAAAUGUAGGUAACUAAUGUAUACCUCAUGGAUUCCACGCCCAUUGUUAUGAUAAUUUACUUACAACCAUCUUCAGCUAUUUACUACAUUUUUCUGGCUGGAUCACCAUGUUUACUGUGAUGGACAACUGCCCUUCCUGAUCCAUGACCCAUGCAACAGAGCAUUACUGAAGAAAUUCACACCCUCAGGCAAUUAGAUGUCCCUGUAAAGUUAUAGUCAACAGGUUCUUAUGACCUCACCACAUAGACUGUUACUUAUAAGCUCCCUCUCUUAUUACACCUAUGGAUAUUUUGUAACUUUUCUUUGAUCAUUAAAAAGCUUCUCCUCAACUCUUGAA